GACAGUAUAUAAGCUCUCAAUUCUCACCAUCUUGGGCGGCAGGAGAGGGGGGUAUUCACUUUGUUUUUUCCUGUGAUGCCCCCAGGCAUGUAAUAGUAAAAAACGAAUGCAUUUGUAUCCUUUUCUCCUAUUAAUCUGCCUGUUGUCAUUUUGUCUCCUAGACAAAAUUAAAUCUAGGAGGGCAGAGGGAAAGCAUUUCGUCCCUCCCCUACCUUAGCCGCUUGGUAAAGGCAGAGGACUCUGAGGCUGCAGCAGGUGGCGGAGCCAGCCGAUGGGAGGAACCGGGACCUUUGAUUCAUCGUGUGGGAGAGACAAGCGGCAGACCAGGAACUCUGCUCUGGACCCACAUAUCGGAGAAAAAUGUCUAACAACAGAAGCCUUGCUUUUGACAAGAAAGAGCCGAGAGACACAAACGAACAGAUUUAUGACCCCACUUCCAUGAGGUACCGAGCAUGGGCGAAUUCAUGCAACAGGAAAUAGAACCGAGGUCCCCAAGGGGCUUGGAGAAAGAAGGAAUAGGGAGUUACUGUCUAACAGAAAGUCCCAUGGAGCUGCUCCUGCCAGAACAAGGGCAAAUUGGCUUUGGGGAUAACCUUGAACCGAGGUGGGAGGCAGGAUCCGCCCACAGCCUCACCUAUGUGAGGAGCCAGACCCCCCCCCCCCACUUCAGCAAUGGAGCACCUAGAAGCACCUGCAACCAAGACCAGCCCCCACACAUUCAACGCGGGUGUGAAGAAUGAAGGAGUGAGGACAAAGUGAAAGAAUGAUUGACGUCACUUGCCACGGCACAGACAGAGCCUGGACAAGCCCUGGGAUUCUCCCUCUGACUUAGCGCCCUCGUCCCGAAGCACCUGGUAACUUCCAGGGGCCUCACAGACGCCUGGGAACCAGGCCUGGAUUAAGUCCCGGGCCUUCCUAGGCUCCACUGCUCUCUCAGAGGCUCCCUCGGAAUGAUGGUGUGAAGACAAAUAGGCACAAGCGCCUGGCCUUGCCAGCCCUGCGGGCCCUUUCACACCGCAGGCAGGAAAUAAAUGACUCAAAUGUU